rnacentral:piRNA from 1 species
UGCUUUUUGUUGAGAUGACCUGCUUACGU